rnacentral:rRNA from 2 species
CACGCAGUAAACGAUGAUGACUAACCGUCGGCGAUAUACAGUCGGUGGCCAAGCGAAAGCGAUAAGUCAUCCACCUGGGGAGUACGACCGCAAGGUUGAAACUCAAAGGAAUUGACGGGGGCCCGCACAAGCGGAGGAACAUGUGGUUUAAUUCGAUGAUACGCGAGGAACCUUACCCGGGCUCGAACGGCAUAUGAAGACUGUAGAGAUGCAGUCGCCCUUCGGGGCAUAUGUCGAGGUGC